rnacentral:lncRNA from 10 species
CCCAGGUUCACGCCAUUCUCCUGCCUCAGCCUCCCAAGUAGUUGGGACUACAGGCGCCCGCUACCAUGCCUGGCUAAUUUUUUUGUAAUUUUAGUAGAGUCGGGGUUUCACCAUGUUAGCCAGGAUGGUCUCGCUAUCCUGACCUCCUGAUCCACCAGCCUCGGCCUCCCCAAGUGCUGGGAUUACAGGCGUGAGCCACCGCGCCCAGCCUACAGUGCUUCUUUAAGGCUAAGAAAGCCUUCACUUCCAACAGCAGUAUCUCUUGGAAGGCCAGUUUUGAAGAAACAAAGUGGCCAUUCCCUUUUUUUUCCUUCCUGCUUCUUAUGCACUGGAAUCAUUGGGAUCUAUAGGACUGAUCAACCGCAGCAGUUUUAACAGUGGCUGUACACCAAAGUUAAUCACCAGCCUGGUUUCCAACAGCAUAGAUUUGGUUUCUCCAUGUUUGUAAAUGAAAUCAUACAGCUUGUCCUCUUUUGCGUCUGGCUUCUUUUACUGAAAGGGGAACCCAGAGGAUGGUGUCACUUGAUUCUGCCUACAAGCAUUCAGGAAGGCUUCACAAAGGAGGUGACAUUGGAGUGGGAUCUUAAAGAAGCAGUGGAAGUUUUCCAGAUAAAGAAGAAAGCAUCUCAAAUCAUCGGAAAGGGGGAAUAAUUUGGACCUGGAAAAUUUCCUGUGAGGACUCAAGGAGCACAUGGCCUGCUGAAAUCCAUGAACUACUAGACUGCCUCUAUUCACCUGAUGUCCUGCUUUUCACCCAGCCUCUUCACCGCAGCCUUUAUGAUGGAGAAUAGAGGAGGAGGAGGGACACAGAGCCUCUUCUAACUCCAGCCACAUUUACCUGGGCCUUGUUUCUAGGCAGUGGAAAGCCAGGAAGGAGAGUCAAGAAAGGUACAGAUGAGUCAUCAAUUCCCUUUGUGCUGCUAGAACAAGUGUCAGAGGGAAGCCAUGUACCUGUCUGCCCAUUGACACUCAGACAACCAUUGUACUAUAAGAAGCACUUGGCUGCCUGACAAAGAAUGGAAAAUAAACAUGGCAAGGCCAAGAUGUCCAAGAUGAGUCAACUGGGCAGUGGUGGCAGGAGAGCAACAAUGAAGAGUCCUAGCGUUUUGCACAGCUUGAAUAUUGAAUUGAACCCUGCAGUAUGCUGGGCCCCAGGGAUGCAGAGAUGACGCACUGCAUGCCCUGCCUUGGAGAAGAAGUCAAGUGGUGAAACCAGGCAAGUGCCAUGCCAUUAGAGUGCCCUGUGGUCAAGAUGUACUCCAAAAGGAUCUGAGACUAAAUAUCAGUGUGUGAGCAGCUCUACUUCCUACUGGAGGCACAAGCUGGUUCCUAAAGGAUGACAAGGCACUUGCCCAGGGCAAAGGCCUUGAAAUAGGUGGCCAGCAAGUGACAACUGGGUCAUGGCAACCCAAAUGUGUCCAGAUGCCAGGAGAGGCUUAGUCAAAUACAAGUCGGCAUACAAAUUGAGUGUCCUCUUUGAAGCUUAGAGCAGUUGAGCAGUUAGGGUAAAUCUUCUUAACUUGAGGCAUGCAAGGCCCUACAGAUCCCCUCUCCUCGCAUCUGGCUCCAGUCACCCUUUCCAACCUCAUUGCCAUUACUGGCUCCUAUCCUACCCUCUACCCACUUCACUAAACACACCCUGUAUUUUCCUGCCUUUGUGCCUUUCCAGGUACAGUCUGAUCACCCAGAGUCCUCUUCUCCAUCUCUGCCUCUGGUAGAGUCCAGUCAAUCAAUUAAGGUCAAAUUCCUCCUCCAAUAGACCCGACCCUUGGGGCAUAUCCACCAUCUCUACCCACAUGCCACCAGAAAGAAUCAAUCUCUCCUUCCCUUUUGUGCCCAGAACACUUAGUACCUCUGUUAAGAACUUGACACAACCUGCCUUGUGUAGCCAAAUGGUUAAGAACACAAGCUGUGGUUUCAAGAGAGCAGACUUAGAAACACCACCUGUGUGACCUCGGGUAAAUUUACUAACCAUUCGAGCCCUCAGUGUCAUGAUCUGUAUAAUGAGAAUGAUAAUAGUGUCUACUUACUGGAGUUAUUUUUAGGAUUAUAUGAGAUAAUGCAUCUAAAGCAUAGUGCCUGACACAUAAUAAGCAUUCAAUAAAUUGUAGCUCAUUUUGUUAUAUGGCCAUGUUGUCCCCAA